rnacentral:rRNA from 1 species
GAUGAACGCUGGCGGCGUGCCUAACACAUGCAAGUCGAGCGGCAGCGAGGGGUGCUUGCACCCUGUCGGCGAGCGGCGGACGGCUGAGUAACGCGUGGGAACGUGCCCCAAAGUGAGGAAUAACUGCCCGAAAGGGUAGCUAAUACCGCAUAUUAUCUUCGGAUCAAAGGAUUUAUCCGCUUUGGGAGCGGCUCGCGUCGGAUUAGGUAGUUGGUGAGGUAAUGGCUCACCAAGCCGACGAUCCGUAGCUGGUCUGAGAGGAUGACCAGCCAGACUGGAACUGGGACCCGGUCCAGACUCCCAGGGGAGGCGGGAGGGAGGAAUCUUCCAAAGUGGGCGAAAGCCUGAUGGGGAAACGCCGGGGGAAGGACGAAGGCCUUGGGGUUGUAAACUGUUUUUAAAAGGGGGGAAUAGGACGGAAAUUUUUAAAAAAGGAUCGGCUAACUACGG